rnacentral:rRNA from 1 species
GAUCAUGGCUCAGGAUGAACGCUGGCGGCGUGCUUAACACAUCAAGUCGAACGAGCGAGAGGAAGCAAUUCCUUUGCUAGUGGCGGACGGGUGAGUAACGCGUGAGCAACCUACCUUUGUGAGUGGGAUAACAAUUGGAAACGAUUGCUAAUACCGCAUAACGUAUAGAUAUUGCAUGAUAACUAUACCAAAGAAAUUCGCACAAAGAUGGGCUCGCGUCCCAUUAGACAGUUGGUGAGGUAACGGCCCACCAAAUCUACGAUGGGUAGCCGGACUGAGAGGUUGAACGGCCACAUUGGAACUGAGAAGCGGUCCAGACUCCUACGGGAGGCAGCAGUGGGGAAUAUUGGGCAAUGGACGAAAGUCCUGACCCAGCGACGCCGCGUGAAGGAAGAAGGUCUUCGGAUUGUAAACUUUAGUCAACAGGGAAGAAGAAAGUGACGGUACCUGUAGAGGAAGCCACGGCUAACUACGUGCCAGCCGCCGC